GCUGGGUGCGGUGGCGGGCACCUGUAAUCCAGCUACUUGGGAGGCUGAGGCAGGAGAAUCGCUUGAACCCGGGAGGCAGUGGUUGCAGUGAGCCAAGAUUGCGCCAUUGCACUCCAGCCUGGGUGACAAAGUGAGACUCUGUCUCAA
rnacentral:SRP_RNA from 1 species